rnacentral:misc_RNA from 1 species
GAUGAAGAACGUAGCGAAAUGCGAUAAGUAAUGUGAAUUGCAGAAUUCCGUGAAUCAUCGAAUCUUUGAACGCACAUUGCGCCCCCUGGUAUUCCGGGGGGCAUGCCUGUCCGAGCGUCAUUGCAACCUUCAAGCGCGGCUUGUGUGUUGGGUCUCGUCCCCCGUGGACGAGCCCGAAAGGCAGUGGCGGCGUCCCGACAUGGUGCCCGAGCGUAUGGGAAUCCUCUUCCGCUCGAAUCGGCCCAUGCGGCGCUGGUCGUAACCAAAUUUUUUACCGGUUGACCUCGGAUCAGGUAGGGAUACCCGCUGAACUUAAGCAUAUCAAUAACGGAGGA